CCCUUAGAUGUUCUGGGCGGCCCGCGCACUACAAUGGCGCUUUCAGCGAGUUCCUAUGUUGAAUUUUCCUGGGUAUUCUUGGAAGCGGCGUCUUGACUUGGGUUAGAUCCUUGUAAUUGUUGGUUUUGAACGAGGAAUUCCUUGUAAUCGCGGUUGAUCAGCUCGCGUUGAAUACGUCCCUGCCCUUUGUACACACCGCCCGUCGCUCCUACCGAUGAAUCGUCCGGUGAAGUUCACAGAGUGGCGGUUCGUGGAGUUGCUCGCGAAGUGAAAUGGACCUCACGAUUUAGAGGAAGGAGAAGUCGUAACA
rnacentral:rRNA from 1 species